rnacentral:rRNA from 1 species
UACGUAGGGGGCAAGCGUUGUCCGGAAUCAUUGGGCGUAAAGCGCGUGUAGGCGGCUCGGUAAGUCUGCUCUGAAAGUCCAAGGCUCAACCUUGGGAUGCGGGUGGAUACUGCCGGGCUCGAGUCCGGAAGAGGCGAGUGGAAUUCCUGGUGUAGCGGUGAAAUGCGCAGAUAUCAGGAGGAAUACCGAUGGCGAAGGCAGGUCUCUGGGCUGACACUGACGCUCAUGCACGAAAGCGUGGGGAGCAAACAGG